rnacentral:rRNA from 1 species
CCUACGGGAGGCAGCAGUGAGGAAUAUUGGUCAAUGGGCGCGAGCCUGAACCAGCCAAGUAGCGUGAAGGAUGACGGCCCUACGGGUUGUAAACUUCUUUUAUACGGGAAUAAAGUGAGGCACGUGUGCCUUUUUGUAGGUAUUUUAUGAAUAAGGAUCGGCUAAUUCCGUGCCAGCAGCCGCGGUAAUACGGAGGAUCCGAGCGUUAUCCGGAUUUAUUGGGUUUAAAGGGAGCGUAGGUGGGUUGUUAAGUGAGUUGUGAAAGUUUGUGGCUCAACCGUAGAAUUGCAAUGGAUACUGGCAGCCUUGAGUACAGUUGAGGUAGGCGGAAUUCGUGGUGUAGCGGUGAAAUGCUUAGAUAUCACGAAGAACUCCGAUUGCGAAGGCAGCCUACUAAACUGCCACUGACAUUGAUGCUCGAAGGUGUGGGUAUCAAACAGGAUUAGAUACCCGGGUAGUC